GAUGAACGCUGGCGGCGUGCCUAAUACAUGCAAGUCGAGCGAACGGACGAGAAGCUUGCUUCUCUGAUGUUAGCGGCGGACGGGUGAGUAACACGUGGAUAACCUACCUAUAAGACUGGGAUAACUUCGGGAAACCGGAGCUAAUACCGGAUAAUAUUUUGAACCGCAUGGUUCAAAAGUGAAAGACGGUCUUGCUGUCACUUAUAGAUGGAUCCGCGCUGCAUUAGCUAGUUGGUAAGGUAACGGCUUACCAAGGCAACGAUGCAUAGCCGACCUGAGAGGGUGAUCGGCCACACUGGAACUGAGACACGGUCCAGACUCCUACGGGAGGCAGCAGUAGGGAAUCUUCCGCAAUGGGCGAAAGCCUGACGGAGCAACGCCGCGUGAGUGAUGAAGGUCUUCGGAUCGUAAAACUCUGUUAUUAGGGAAGAACAUAUGUGUAAGUAACUGUGCACAUCUUGACGGUACCUAAUCAGAAAGCCACGGCUAACUACGUGCCAGCAGCCGCGGUAAUACGUAGGUGGCAAGCGUUAUCCGGAAUUAUUUGGCGUAAAGCGCGCGUAGCGGUUUUUUAAGUCUGAUGUGAAAGCCCACGGCUCAACCGUGGAGGGUCAUUGGAAACUGGAAAACUUGAGUGCAGAAGAGGAAAGUGGAAUUCCAUGUGUAGCGGUGAAAUGUGCAGAGAUAUGGAGGAACACCAGUGGCGAAGGCGACUUUCUGGUCUGUAACUGACGCUGAUGUGCGAAAGCGUGGGGAUCAAACAGGAUUAGAUACCCUGGUAGUCCACGCCGUAAACGAUGAGUGCUAAGUGUUAGGGGGUUUCCGCCCCUUAGUGCUGCAGCUAACGCAUUAAGCACUCCGCCUGGGGAGUACGACCGCAAGGUUGAAACUCAAAGGAAUUGACGGGGACCCGCACAAGCGGUGGAGCAUGUGGUUUAAUUCGAAGCAACGCGAAGAACCUUACCAAAUCUUGACAUCCUUUGACAACUCUAGAGAUAGAGCCUUCCCCUUCGGGGGACAAAGUGACAGGUGGUGCAUGGUUGUCGUCAGCUCGUGUCGUGAGAUGUUGGGUUAAGUCCCGCAACGAGCGCAACCCUUAAGCUUAGUUGCCAUCAUUAAGUUGGGCACUCUAAGUUGACUGCCGGUGACAAACCGGAGGAAGGUGGGGAUGACGUCAAAUCAUCAUGCCCCUUAUGAUUUGGGCUACACACGUGCUACAAUGGACAAUACAAAGGGCAGCGAAACCGCGAGGUCAAGCAAAUCCCAUAAAGUUGUUCUCAGUUCGGAUUGUAGUCUGCAACUCGACUACAUGAAGCUGGAAUCGCUAGUAAUCGUAGAUCAGCAUGCUACGGUGAAUACGUUCCCGGGUCU
rnacentral:rRNA from 1 species